rnacentral:rRNA from 2 species
UACGUAGGGGGCGAGCGUUGUCCGGAUUUAUUGGGCGUAAAGAGCUCGUAGGCGGUUGCGGAAGUCGGAUGUGAAAUACCGGGGCUCAACUCCGGGGCGCCAUUCGAUACUCCGCUGACUCGAGUCCGGUAGGGGAAGGUGGAAUUCCUGGUGUAGCGGUGAAAUGCACAGAUAUCAGGAGGAACACCGGUGGCGAAGGCGGCCUUCUGGGCCGGUACUGACGCUGAGGAGCGAAAGCUAGGGGAGCGAACAGG